rnacentral:rRNA from 1 species
UACAGAGGGUGCGAGCGUUGUCCGGAAUCACUGGGCGUAAAGGGCGCGUAGGUGGCGCGACAAGUCAGUGGUGAAAGUUCGACGCUCAACGUCGAAUCGGCCACUGAUACUGUUGGGCUUGAGCACUGUAGAGGCUAAUGGAAUUCCGGGUGUAGCGGUGGAAUGCGUAGAGAUCCGGAAGAACACCGGUGGCGAAGGCGGCCCUCUGGACCGUUGCUGACGAUGAGACGCGAAAGCGUGGGGAGCAAACAGG